AUUGAACGCUGGCGGCAGGCCUAACACAUGCAAGUCGAGCGGAUGAAGGGAGCUUGCUCCUGGAUUCAGCGGCGGACGGGUGAGUAAUGCCUAGGAAUCUGCCUGGUAGUGGGGGAUAACGUCCGGAAACGGGCGCUAAUACCGCAUACGUCCUGAGGGAGAAAGUGGGGGAUCGUCGGACUUCACGCUUUCAGAUGAGCCUAGGUCGGAUUAGCUAGUUGGUGGGGUAAAGGCCUACCAAGGCGACGAUCCGUAACUGGUCUGAGAGGAUGAUCAGUCACACUGGAACUGAGACACGGUCCAGACUCCUACGGGAGGCAGCAGUGGGGAAUAUUGGACAAUGGGCGAAAGCCUGAUCCAGCCAUGCCGCGUGUGUGAAGAAGGCCUUCGGAUUGUAAAGCACUUUAAGUUGGGAGGAAGGGCAGUAAGUUAAUACCUUGCUGUUUUGACGGUACCAACAGAAUAAGCACCGGCUAACUUCGUG
rnacentral:rRNA from 1 species